rnacentral:rRNA from 1 species
CUUAAAGACUGUUCUCAGUUCGGACUGCAGUCUGCAACUCGACUGCACGAAGCUGGAAUCGCUAGUAAUCGCGGAUCAGCACGCCGCGGUGAAUACGUUCCCGGGCCUUGUACACACCGCCCGUCACACCAUGGAAGUCUGCAAUGCCCGAAGCCGGUGGCCUAACCACUUAUGUGGAAGGAGCCGUCUAAGGCAGGGCAGAUGACUGGGGUGAAGUCGUAACAAGGUACC